UGGGUGGGCUGUCGUGACAGCCUUGUCGGAGUCCAAGCGGCCGGAGGCCCUGUAUGCCUUCUGUAUAAGAAGCUGGCCCAGCGAGCGGGCCUGGUGGGGCUGUGCAGACCGCUGUGCCACGGAGCGACCUUCAGUUUACCGGUCUGUGAGAUGAGGCUGGCAGCGACCCUGAUGAACUACCCCCCAGUUCCCAGAGGGUGGUGAAGUGUACGUGGACAAUCCUGCGAUGUGGCAGUUGUAUCCCCCGCCACCGUGUAGCCCGCCUAGGGCUCUUGGUUUGAGUCUACAGAAGAUCAUACGCAGGAGAUUGGGGUGGCCCUAUGUUUUUAAGAAUUAAGUAGGUGUGGUAAAGCUUGAAGGAGGGCGCCCUGUGGAUCGGAAUCCCUCCUGAAAGAGUACCCCUCAGGUCUGAAUUCUCUCACUAGCACUUAAGAUAAGAGGAGUCCCAGGAAGGGGAGGAUACUAGCCUUGCAUGACCUAAGCAGUUGGUCCUCCUGCCCAGAGUGCGCAAGGUUUGGGUAGUGCUACCUCAUCUGAAGCUCUCACCCACAAGGUGCUGUUGGGAAGGUAUGGACCAACUUUCAGGAGAGAGAGAUGAACUGGGCUGAAGGAUAAGUCAUAGCCUAGCAAAUGUUACUUAUUGGAGGGGGCAUAGGAUUGUGAUCUGGAGUAGAGGGAUACCCUGUUGCACCAGAGAGGAUCUGGCUACAGUGCUCUCUAACCACAUUCUAGUUCCUCCAAUCCGUGCCCCCAUUGUUUCCAGAAUCUGAGCUCUUUCAAAGCCAGUCUGUCAUCAAAUUUGGCUUGUAGAGAUGUGCAGGUGCUCCCUCUGUCCUGAUGGUUCUCGCUGGUAGCUCAGGAAGGGCUUGCCAGGGUCCUUCUGUCUUAUAUGAAAGAUGAAGUAAUUGGUUCUAAGAUGAUGUGCCUCACACAGGAUCACAUGAGAAUCACGUAAAUGUUAGGCAUCCUGACUUUUUAGCUAAUAUUAUUAAUUUUGCUACAAGUUUAAUCAAAACAACUAGUAUUAUUUUCACUGUUGGAGAUUGGUUUUUUGUUUGUUUGGAAACUAUCCAUGUAGCAUAAACUGUACUUUAAAACACAUUGCCUUAAACACGUCUCUUUUUUUAUCCCUAGUACUUCUUGUGGAUUGUCACCUUAAAAUGUUGAUAACACAAGUGUUUCUUGCCUAAUGUAAUUUGUCUAUUUUUAAAAAUCAUAAAUUUGGUAAUAAAAUGAGCCUGUAACUUAAAAUGGGAAAAUUAUGCUGGAUCACACUUCUCCAAACUAAUUUCAUAAAUGUAAAUAAAAUAUGGCACAGUGUGUUCUUUUAAGUAUAGAUUAGGCAUCCUUAAUCCAAAAAUAUGAAAUUUGAAACUAUUUUGGACUAGGUAUAUAACCAUUAAAAUCUAUGCAGAGAGCUGGGGUUGUGGCUCAGCAGUAGAGCGCUCACCUAGCACUUGUGAAGCCCUGGGUUCAAUCCUCAGCACCACAUAUAAAUAAAACAAAGGUAUUUUGUCCACCUAUAACUUAAAAAAAAUCUAUGCAGAUAUUCCAAAAUCCAGAAAACUCUGAAAUUUGAAAUAAUUCUGGUCUCAAGCAUUUGGAAUAAGGGACACUUAACAUGUAACAAACUAUUUUUUUGAAGUAAACAUACCUUUUAUGAUGUAGCAAAACUUAAAACAGUCUAUUGAUCUGCAAAUAUUUUGUUUUUAAUGAUUUAGGUGGCCUCCACUUAUACCAGUAUUCUUACUGAAGUCCAUGCAGUUGACAUUGCUUGUGAUUUUCAGUACUUGUACAUGUGGCCAUGCAGCUAACUUGAUUGUAUUUUAAGACUGUCCCUUAAAAUACACUGAGUUCUUGUCCAGCUUGGUGGCACAUGCCUGUAAUCCUAGUGGCUCAGGAGGCUGAGUCAGAAAGCAUGAGUUCAAAGCCAGCCUCAGCAAAAACGAGUUGCUAAGCAACUCAGUGAGACCCUGUCUGUAAAUAAAAUACAAAAUAGGGCUGGGGAUGUGGCUCAGUGGUCGAGUGCCCCUGAAUUCAGUCCAAAGUACCACUCCCCCCCAAAAAAAAACCCCAAACAAAAACAUUGAGUUCUUGGGCUGGGUGGUUGUGGCUCAGUGGCAGAGUGCUUGCCUAGCAUGUGUGGGGCACUAGGUUUGAUCCUCAGCACCACAUAAAAAUAGGUAAAUUGUGUUCAUCCACAGCUAAAAAUAUUUUUUAAAAAUUGCAUUCUGGAUGAUUAGUAUAUAAGCACUUACUAACCCUAACCAACUGAUACAUACUGAGAAAAAUAUGCACUCAUUUAUUUGAGGUUCUGUGGCUCCACAUUUUGGAAGGAAUUCAGCUGGAAAUUUUUUGCUAGUGUUGUCUGGAUCAGACAUGAGGCUUUGGACAUUGGGUGCCUCAACUGAGGCUGCUUGCCUUAACACUUGCAUGGUUAGUAAUUUGCGCUAGCUCUUGGCUAGAGCAAUGUAGCCCCAGGCUUCUUCACAGCAUGUCUUUGUCCGAAGAGACCAGCACCAGUGGGCAAGUGCUUUUCAAACGUGUGUGUUUGACAUUUCCUGUUGUCUCAUUGGCCAAGGCAGUAACAUAAAUAGCAGAGUCCAGGUUUGUGGUACUGUAUAAGUGCUUGCAUACAGAGAGAUGGCUUAUUGGGAACCACUACUGGAACAGUGUACUAUAAGAAGUAUAUAUUAUGUAUAUUUUUCCUAUAUAACUAUGGGUCCAAAAUGAUGGGUUGCAGCAAGCAUACUUUUUUUUUUUUUUUUUUGGUACCAGGGAUUGAACUCAGGGGCACUCACCAUUGAGCCACAUCCCCAACUGAGACAGGGUCUCAGUUCCUUAGUGCCUUACUUUUUUUAAAUAUUUAUUUUUUAAUUUUAGGUGGAUACAAUAUCUUUAUUUUAUUUUUAUGUGGUGCUGAGGAUCAAACCCAGUGCCUCACACAUGCUAGGUGAGCACUCUAUCACUUGAGCUACAACCUCAGCCCCAGUGCCUCGCUUUUUGCUGAGGCUGGUUUUGAAUUUGCGAUCCCCCUGCCUCAGCCUCCCAAGCUGCUGGGAUCACAGGCAUGUGCCAUCAUGCGCAGCACAUGCAUACUUUUCAUGAAACUUAAGUAUGCAAACCAAGGGGUGUGGUGGAAAUGCUC
rnacentral:lncRNA from 1 species